UACGGAGGGGACUAGCGUUGUUCGGAAUUACUGGGCGUAAAGCGCGCGUAGGCGGAUUUGUAAGUCAGGGGUGAAAUCCCGGGGCUCAACCUCGGAACUGCCUUUGAUACUGCAAAUCUCGAGUCCGGAAGAGGUGAGUGGAAUUCCUAGUGUAGAGGUGAAAUUCGUAGAUAUUCGCAAGAACACCAGUGGCGAAGGCGGCUCACUGGCCCGAUACUGACGCUGAGGCACGAAAGCGUGGGGAGCAAACAGG
rnacentral:rRNA from 1 species